rnacentral:rRNA from 1 species
UACAGAGGUGCCGAGCGUUAGGCGGAAUCACUGGGCUUAAAGCGUGUGUAGGCGGACGCGUAAGUGCCUUGUGAAAUCCCACGGCUCAACCGUGGAACUGCUGGGCAUACUGCGUUUCUUGAGCCAAUCAGGGGUCGUCGGAACAAACGGUGGAGCGGUGAAAUGCGUAGAUAUCAGGAGGAACACCCGAGGCGAAGGCGGCUCUCUGGGUCGUACCUGACGCUGAGGCGCGAAAGCGUGGGGAGCGAACGGG